UCUCCGUAGGUGAACCUGCGGAGGGAUCAUUACUGAGUGAGGGCCCUCGUGGUCCGACCUCCAACCCAUUGUUGUCCGACUCUGUUGCCUCGGGGGCGACCCGGCGCUUCAGCGCCAGGGGGUCCCCGCUGGUCCACACAACUCUGCAUCUUUGCGUCUGAGUAAACAUUAAAUGAAACAAAACUUUCAACAACGGAUCUCUUGGUUCUG
rnacentral:misc_RNA from 1 species